rnacentral:rRNA from 1 species
GGCGUCCUCAGGGCGUCCGAGUUGUAAUCUAUAGAGGCGUUUUCCGUGCCGGACCGUGUCCAAGUUCCUUGGAACAGGAUAUCAAAGAGGGUGACAAUCCCGUACUUGACACGACGACCGGUGCUCUGUGAUACGUCUUCUACGAGUCGAGUUGUUUGGGAAUGCAGCUCAAAAUGGGUGGUGAGUUCCAUCUAAAGCUAAAUAUUGGCGAGAGACCGAUAGCGAACAAGUACCGUGAGGGAAAGAUGAAAAGCACUUUGGAAAGAGAGUUAAACAGUACGUGAAAUUGUUGAAAGGGAAACGAUUGAAGUCAGUCGUGACCGAGAGGCUCAGCCGGUUCUGCCGGUGUAUUCCCCUCGGUCGGGUCAACAUCAGUUUUGUCCGGUGGAUAAGGGCGGUAGGAAGGUGGCACCCUCGGGUGUGUUAUAGCCUGCCGUCGCAUACAUCGGGUGAGACUGAGGAACGCAGCUCGCCUUUAUGGCCGGGGUUCGCCCACGUCCGAGCUUAGGAUGUUGACAUAAUGGCUUUAAACGACCCGUCUU